CUCCUGUUUCAAGGAGUUUCUUCCCGGCUAUUAGCGGGCAACUGAACCAUCUUCUCACCAGCUAGAGUGUGGUCCUGACCUCAAACCUACCUCACUG